rnacentral:lncRNA from 1 species
GUGGCUUCUGGUAAACUCGUCAAGGUUAAGAGUUCGUACAAACUUCCAGCUGCACGAUCUGCAGCUCCAAAGGCUGCUGCUACUGCGCCGGCGAAGAAGAAGCCGGCAGCUAAGCCGAAAGCAACAAAGGCAAAACCGAAGCCAAAACCUAAGACUGUUGCUCCAAAGGCAAAAACUGCUACUAAACCAAAGGCAAAGCCAAAGGCGAAGGUGAAGGCGAAGCUUGUUGCUAAAGCUAAGCCUGCUGUGAAGCCUAAGGCGGCAGCUGUAGCGAAGCCGAAAGCUGCGGAGAAGCCUAAAACUCCUGUAAAAACUAAGGCUGCAGCUAAGCCAAAG